rnacentral:rRNA from 1 species
GACGAACGCUGGCGGCGUGCUUAACACAUGCAAGUCGAGCGGUAAGGCCCUUUCGGGGGUACACGAGCGGCGAACGGGUGAGUAACACGUGGGUGACCCGCCCUCAGCUCUGGGAUAAGCCUGGGAAACCGGGUCUAAUACCGGAUAUGACUCCAUGACGCAUGUUGUGGGGUGGAAAGCCUUGUGCGGCUGAGGAUGGGCCCGCGGCCUAUCAGCUUGUUGGUGGGGUGAUGGCCUACCAAGGCGACGACGGGUAGCCGGCCUGAGAGGGCGACCGGCCACACUGGGACUGAGACACGGCCCAGACUCCUACGGGAGGCAGCAGUGGGGAAUCUUGCGCAAUGGGCGAAAGCCUGACGCAGCGACGCCGCGUGAGGGAUGACGGCCU